GAUGAACGCUGGCGGCGUGCUUAACACAUGCAAGUCGAACGGAAAGGCCCAAGCUUGCUUGGGUACUCGAGUGGCGAACGGGUGUGUAACACGUGGAUGAUCUGCCCUGCACUUCGGGAUAAGCCUGGGAAACUGGGUCUAAUACCGGAGAGGACGAUGGUUUGGAUGCCAUUGUGGAAAGUUUUUUCGGUGUGGGAUGAGCUCGCGGCCUAUCAGCUUGUUGGUGGGGUAAUGGCCUACCAAGGCGUCGACGGGUAGCCGGCCUGAGAGGGUGUACGGCGCCAUUCUGGCUGUGAGACAGGGCAGAGUCUCACACGGGGGAGCAGUGUGGAAUAUUGUGCAAAGUGGGCAAGCGUGAUGCGGCGAGGCCGCGUGUGGGAUGAGGCCGUCCUGGUGGUAUACCCCUCUCGCUAUGGACAAGGCGUUAUUGUGACGGUACCUGGAGAAGAAGCACCGGCUAACUACGUG
rnacentral:rRNA from 1 species